rnacentral:rRNA from 1 species
GAUGAACGCUGGCGGCGUGCUUAACACAUGCAAGUCGAACGACGAUGCUGGUGCUUGCUCCGGAGGAUUAUUGGCGAACGGGUGAGUAACACGUGAGCAAUCCGGGCUUGACUCUGGGAUCACUGCGGGAAACUGUAGCUAAUACCGGAGACUUUCACUGUCAGGCAUAUUCUGGUGACGAAAGUAGUGCGGUGACGGAUGAGCUCGCGGCCUGUCAGCGUGUUGGUGAGGUACCGGCUCACCAAGGCGACGACGGGUAGCCGGCCUGAGAGGGUGACCGGCCACACUGGGACUGAGGCACGGCCCAGACUCCUACGGGAGGCAGCAGUGGGGAAUAUUGCACAAUGGGCGCAAGCCUGAUGCAGCGACGCCGCGUGAGGGAUGAAGGCCUUCGGGUUGUAAACCUCUUUUAGCAGGGAAGAAGCGAAAGUGACGGUACCUGCAGAAAAAGCACCGGCUAACUACGUGCCAGCCGCCGCCGUAA